rnacentral:rRNA from 1 species
CCCUACGGGGUGCCGCAGGACAUGGUUGAGAACCGAGCCAAGCCCGUAUUUUUUCUGACCACCCGCUUCAGCGGCGCCUUCAACGGCCUCGGAGAUGGCAAUCCCCAGCGAACCGGGAUGGUUCGGGUCUUUUUCCAGGUAGGACUGGCCAAUUUUCGUAUGGGCCGAAGGGCUUGGGAAGAUUUGCGCGCCAUAGGUUUGCAUGAUGAUGCGGCGGUAAGGCUUAGCCAGGUACGAGGAAUUGACCAUGUACACUUCCACGCUAAUGUCGAACAUCUGGCCGGCCAUGGCCAGCGCCGAACCCCACUGGCCAGCACCUGUUUCGGUGGUGAGGGCCUUGGUACCGCUAAUCCGGUGGAAGUAGGCCUGGGGGAUGGCCGAAUUCAGCUUGUGGCUGCCGGCUGGAGAGGCGCCGUCGUAUUGGAAGUAAAUAUGGGCGGGGGGGC